AAUUUAAUAAAACAAAUAAUAACUAUAUAACAUAUUUAUUCCAAUUUUAUUCUUUUGUCACAUAUUUUCAUGGAGAGAAACUAUUAUCUGUUUAAUUGAUAUUCAUUGCUAUUGUCCCAACUAGAAACCAACUUAGAUGACAUUGCUGAGCCCCAGAGAUGCUACCAAACUGCCCUAAGUUAAACAACGUGCAAAUGGAGCUGACAGCAGUGAAAAAUAAAUUGACAAUCUCUAGAGUAUGAAGGAAAGCAAGACCUGACUUUGUCUCCUAUUGUGAUUGAGUGAGCUGAUUCAAAAUUUCAAAAGGAUAUGGACAACUGCUAGCAUGUUCUGGAGUAGAG
rnacentral:lncRNA from 1 species